UACGUAGGGUGCGAGCGUUGUCCGGAAUUAUUGGGCGUAAAGAGCUCGUAGGCGGCUCAGUAAGUCAGGUGUGAAAACUCCAGGCUCAACCUGGAGACGCCACCUGAUACUGCUGUGGCUAGAGUCCGGUAGGGGAGCAUGGAAUUCCUGGUGUAGCGGUGAAAUGCGCAGAUAUCAGGAGGAACACCGGUGGCGAAGGCGGGUCUCUGGGCCGUAACUGACGCUGAGGAGCGAAAGCAUGGGGGAGCGAACAGGGA
rnacentral:rRNA from 1 species